rnacentral:tRNA from 1 species
GAAAUAAAUUUAAUUAAAAGUAAGCUUCUAACUUAACUUUUUAGCGAUGAAAAUUCGUUAUUAUUUCU